UACGUAGGCAGCGAGCGUUGUUCGGAGUUACUGGGCGUAAAGGGUGUGUAGGCGGUUGUUUAAGUUUGGUGUGAAAUCUCCCGGCUCAACUGGGAGGGUGCGCCGAAUACUGAAUGACUUGGAGUGCGGGAGAGGAAAGUGGAAUUCCUGGUGUAGCAGUGAAAUGCGUAGAUAUCAGGAGGAAUACCGAUGGCGAAGGCAGGUCUCUGGGCUAACACUGACGCUCAUGCACGAAAGCGUGGGGAGCAAACAGG
rnacentral:rRNA from 1 species